CCAUUCUCAGUUCGGAUUGUAGGCUGAAACUCGCCUACAUGAAGCUGGAGUUACUAGUAAUCGCAGAUCAGAAUGCUGCGGUGAAUGCGUUCCCGGGUCUUGUACACACCGCCCGUCACACCACGGAAGUUGGGGGCGCCCGAAGCCACUUAGCUAACCCUUUUGGGAAGCGAGUGUCGAAGGUGAAAUCAAUAACUGGGGUGAAGUCGUAACAAGGUACC
rnacentral:rRNA from 1 species